CACAACUGGGAGUGAUUGACUCUGCAAUCUUAAGAAGGUCAAAUACCUUGGUGGCCUGGCUGAUUUGACUCAAGAUUACUUGCCACUCAGUGAGAGGAAGCAGAAGUGGAGUGGAUGUGAUGUUCCAGGGACCCUUUUGGUUCUGCUCUGUUGGCCCAAGUUCUGGAUAGGCUGGAUGGGAUGUCCCAAAGCCAGAGGAGCAGGUGCUCCCCACCGACCUGUCUCCAGGUCCAAAGUCCACCAUUAGACCAAGAGAGUUAACACGAACAUGUCAAGAAACACCUCUGCUCAUAAACCAACACACGUGUGCGUUACUGCAUCUUAACCUGAACGAUUGUGCGCAUGUUAGUGUGUGUGUCAUGAAG